UAAUUUUUUCUACGCGGCAUGUUUGAACUUAAGUUUCAUCUAUAUGAAACUAAAGUUCAAACAUGCUUAUAGAUGUAUUA